rnacentral:rRNA from 1 species
UACGUAGGAUGCUAGCGUUGUUCGGAUUCAUUGGGCGUAAAGGGUGCGUAGGCGGCGCGGUAAGUCGGGUGUGAAAUCUUGGAGCUUAACUCCGAAACUGCAUUCGAUACUGCCGUGCUUGAGGACUGGAGAGGAGACUGGAAUUUACGGUGUAGCGGUGAAAUGCGCAGAUAUCGGGAGGAACACCGGUGGCGAAGGCGGUUCUCUGGGCCUUACCUGACGCUGAGGAGCGAAAGCGUGGGGAGCGAACAGG